rfam:Anolis carolinensis chromosome 3, whole genome shotgun sequence.
AGAUGUAGUCAAUGCCAUAAAAGCAGCAGAUUCCAUCUGAUCUCAGAAGCUAAGAAAGGUCAGCCUUGGCUAGUACUUGAGUGGGAGACUGCAGAGGUCCUGUGGCUGAAGUCA